rnacentral:rRNA from 1 species
UUAAGUUAUUAAGGGCGCACGGUGGAUGCCUUGGCACUAGAAGCCGAUGAAGGACGUUACUAACGACGAUAUGCUUUGGGGAGCUGUAAGUAAGCUUUGAUCCAGAGAUUUCCGAAUGGGGAAACCCAGCAUGAGUUAUGUCAUGUUAUCGAUAUGUGAAUACAUAGCAUAUCAGAAGGCACACCCGGAGAACUGAAACAUCUUAGUACCCGGAGGAAGAGAAAGAAAAUUCGAUUCCCUUAGUAGCGGCGAGCGAAACGGGAAGAGCCCAAACCAACAAGCUUGCUUGUUGGGGUUGUAGGACACUCUAUACGGAGUUACAAAGGACGACAUUAGACGAAUCAUCUGGAAAGAUGAAUCAAAGAAGGUAAUAAUCCUGUAGUCGAAAAUGUUGUCUCUCUUGAGUGGAUCCUGAGUACGACGGAGCACGUGAAAUUCCGUUGGAAUCUGGGAGGACCAUCUCCUAAGGCUAAAUACUCUCUAGUGACCGAUAGUGAACCAGUACCGUGAGGGAAAGGUGAAAAGCACCCCGGAAGGGGAGUGAAAUAGAACCUGAAACCGUGUGCUUACAAGUAGUCAGAGCCCGUUAAUGGGUGAUGGCGUGCCUUUUGUAGAAUGAACCGGCGAGUUACGAUUUGAUGCAAGGUUAAGCAGUAAAUGUGGAGCCGUAGCGAAAGCGAGUCUGAAUAGGGCGUUUAGUAUUUGGUCGUAGACCCGAAACUAGGUGAUCUACCCUUGGUCAGGUUGAAGUUCAGGUAACACUGAAUGGAGGACCGAACCGACUUACGUUGAAAAGUGAGCGGAUGAACUGAGGGUAGCGGAGAAAUUCCAAUCGAACCUGGAGAUAGCUGGUUCUCUCCGAAAUAGCUUUAGGGCUAGCCUCAAGUGAUGAUUAUUGGAGGUAGAGCACUGUUUGGACGAGGGGCCCCUCUCGGGUUACCGAAUUCAGACAAACUCCGAAUGCCAAUUAAUUUAACUUGGGAGUCAGAACAUGGGUGAUAAGGUCCGUGUUCGAAAGGGAAACAGCCCAGACCACCAGCUAAGGUCCCAAAAUAUAUGUUAAGUGGAAAAGGAUGUGGCGUUGCCCAGACAACUAGGAUGUUGGCUUAGAAGCAGCCAUCAUUUAAAGAGUGCGUAAUAGCUCACUAGUCGAGUGACACUGCGCCGAAAAUGUACCGGGGCUAAACAUAUUACCGAAGCUGUGGAUUGUCCUUUGGACAAUGGUAGGAGAGCGUUCUAAGGGCGUUGAAGCAUGAUCGUAAGGACAUGUGGAGCGCUUAGAAGUGAGAAUGCCGGUGUGAGUAGCGAAAGACGGGUGAGAAUCCCGUCCACCGAUUGACUAAGGUUUCCAGAGGAAGGCUCGUCCGCUCUGGGUUAGUCGGGUCCUAAGCUGAGGCCGACAGGCGUAGGCGAUGGAUAACAGGUUGAUAUUCCUGUACCACCUAUAAUCGUUUUAAUCGAUGGGGGGACGCAGUAGGAUAGGCGAAGCGUGCGAUUGGAUUGCACGUCUAAGCAGUAAGGCUGAGUAUUAGGCAAAUCCGGUACUCAUUAAGGCUGAGCUGUGAUGGGGAGAAGACAUUGUGUCUUCGAGUCGUUGAUUUCACACUGCCGAGAAAAGCCUCUAGAUAGAAAAUAGGUGCCCGUACCGCAAACCGACACAGGUAGUCAAGAUGAGAAUUCUAAGGUGAGCGAGCGAACUCUCGUUAAGGAACUCGGCAAAAUGACCCCGUAACUUCGGGAGAAGGGGUGCUCUUUAGGGUUAACGCCCAGAAGAGCCGCAGUGAAUAGGCCCAAGCGACUGUUUAUCAAAAACACAGGUCUCUGCUAAACCGUAAGGUGAUGUAUAGGGGCUGACGCCUGCCCGGUGCUGGAAGGUUAAGAGGAGUGGUUAGCUUCUGCGAAGCUACGAAUCGAAGCCCCAGUAAACGGCGGCCGUAACUAUAACGGUCCUAAGGUAGCGAAAUUCCUUGUCGGGUAAGUUCCGACCCGCACGAAAGGCGUAACGAUUUGGGCACUGUCUCAACGAGAGACUCGGUGAAAUCAUAGUACCUGUGAAGAUGCAGGUUACCCGCGACAGGACGGAAAGACCCCGUGGAGCUUUACUGUAGCCUGAUAUUGAAAUUCGGCACAGCUUGUACAGGAUAGGUAGGAGCCUUUGAAACGUGAGCGCUAGCUUACGUGGAGGCGCUGGUGGGAUACUACCCUAGCUGUGUUGGCUUUCUAACCCGCACCACUUAUCGUGGUGGGAGACAGUGUCAGGCGGGCAGUUUGACUGGGGCGGUCGCCUCCUAAAAGGUAACGGAGGCGCUCAAAGGUUCCCUCAGAAUGGUUGGAAAUCAUUCAUAGAGUGUAAAGGCAUAAGGGAGCUUGACUGCGAGACCUACAAGUCGAGCAGGGUCGAAAGACGGACU